CGGGGUAUACGCUCAGUGGUAGAGCAUUCGACUGCAGAUCGAGAGGUGCAGUCCCCGGUUCAAACUGGGUGCCCUCU